GACGAACGCUGGCGGCGUGCCUAAUACAUGCAAGUCGAACGAGUGGCGGACGGGUGAGUAACACGUGGGAACCUACCCAUCAGAGGGGGAUCACACUUGGAAACAGGUUCUAAUACCGGCUAUUGGUGGAUGGACCCGCGGUGCAUUAGCUAGUUGGUGGGGUAAAGGCUCACCUAGGCGACGAUCUCUAGCUGGUCUGAGAGGAUGAGCAGCCACACUGGAACUGAGACACGGCCCAGACUCCUACGGGAGGCAGCAGUGGGGAAUAUUGCACAAUGGGCGCAAGCCUGAUGCAGCCAUGCCGCGGGUAUGAAGAAGGCCUUAGGGUUGUAAAGUACUUUCAGCGGGGAGGCGUUACCCGCAGAAGAAGCACCGGCUAACUCCGUGCCAGCAGCCGCGGUAAUAC
rnacentral:rRNA from 1 species